AAAAUUAUGAUCUGCUAGCAGCCUCUAAGUCAUUCUCAAUCCCAGGGGGCCAGUCAGAAGUUUCCGAUUCCUAUUUAGAUAGUGUUGAAAGGCCUUCCUUUAUAGAUUCUUCUGUCUAUUGAGUUCCCAUCCAGUCAGCGACUGACUAAGAUUCAGUCUCAAGCUCGAUAUGAAAUGCUACUUUUAAUAAAUGGGCUAGCUAGGACAGUAAAGACUUUGAUCUUGAUACUAGCCCCAUUGAUACAGAAAAGUCGAAGAUUUCUCUGUCUAUAGACUGAGACGCCCUUACAGUAGAAAGCAAGUCAGACUGAGUUAGGUUGUGUUCGAUCACAAAAGGUUAAACUAAGAAUGUAUGCCUGAGAUUGGGAGUAUAGUGUAGCCUAGGCUUCUUGCAUACUUCAAUUCUUCGACCUACAGGAGGGGACUCAGACUUUCGAUCUCUUCUCUCGAUAAAUAAAUCUAUUGAGAAAUGGAUAUUGAUCUGGUUUCAAGAUCUAUGAACAAGAGAGAUCCCUAAAUAUCCAUUUAGAAAAUAGAUGAAUAGAUAGGUCGUGUUAGCACCCCCUAUUUCACUAAAGCAAGAAGGGUCGGAGGAGCAACUAGUCAAACUUCUUGAGUAGCCGAGAUAUUGAACAACGAACAUUUGAAACAAUUUCUUGCCUCACCUUG
rnacentral:lncRNA from 1 species